rnacentral:rRNA from 1 species
CCCUUAGAUGUUCUGGGCCGCACGCGUGCUACACUGAGUGGAUCAGCGGGUCAGGUUGCGCGAAAGUGUUUCCUAAUCUUGAAAUCCGCUCGUGAUGGGGAUUGACGGUUGCAAUUUUCCGUCAUGAACGAGGAAUACCUUGUAAGCGUGGGUCAUCAUCCCGCGCUGAAUACGUCCCUGCCCUUUGUACACACCGCCCGUCGCUCCUACCGAUUGAGUGGUCCGGUGAGGCUUUGGGAUCUGAGCGGAAAGAGCGUUUCGCUGUUUCUGCUCGGAAAACUCAGUCGAACCUUAUCAUUUAGAGGAAGGAGAAGUCGUAACA